rnacentral:tRNA from 1 species
UUGAACGUCACCGCACCCCUACGCCAGGCGAUUAUGCGCACGCCCUGGUAUGCAAAACGUAAGAGCUAUCGAGUUCUGUUCUGGCGUGAAAUCACCCCCCUUGCCGUGCCUAUUUUCCUGGAGAAUACCUGCGUCCUGCUAAUGGGGGUGCUGAGCACUUUUCUGGUGAGCUGGCUCGGUAAAGAAGCCAUGGCCGGGGUGGGGCUGGCGGACAGUUUCAACAUGGUGGUGAUGUCCUUCUUUGCCGCUAUCGAUCUCGGUACGACGGUGGUGGUGGCGUUUAGCCUGGGCAAGCUUGAUCCGAAGCGUGCCCGCGAAGCGGCCAGACAGUCGCUGAUGAUCAUGACCCUCUUUUCGAUCAUCCUUGCGGCGGUUAUCCAUUAUUACGGCAAAGAAAUUAUCGACAUUGUCGCGGGAGAAGCGACCAGCGAGGUGAAGGAUCUGGCUCUCAC